UACGUAGGUGGCAAGCGUUGUCCGGAUUUACUGGGCGUAAAGGAUGCGUAGGCGGAUAUUUAAGUGAGAUGUGAAAAUCCCGGGCUUAACUUGGGAACUGCAUUUCAAACUGGGUAUCUAGAGUGCAGGAGAGGAAAGCGGAAUUCCUAGUGUAGCGGUGAAAUGCGUAGAGAUUAGGAAGAACACCAGUGGCGAAGGCGGCUUUCUGGACUGUAACUGACGCUGAGGCAUGAAAGCGUGGGGAGCAAAC
rnacentral:rRNA from 1 species